AUUGCUUUUCGGCCUUUUGGCUAAGAUCAAGUGUAGUAUCUGGUCUUAUAAGUUUAAUAUCUGAUAGAUCGUCUAUCCUAUGACAAUAUAUUAAAUAAAUUAAAUAAAUUUUUGGCACUAGCUUGCUCUGUCCAUUCCAUGCAUCAACCUCGUAUUGCAGUAUCUCCAGGAAUGGUACAUUCCUU